GACGAACGCUGGCGGCGUGCUUAACACAUGCAAGUCGAACGGAAAGGCCCUGCUUUUGUGGGGUGCUCGAGUGGCGAACGGGUGAGUAACACGUGAGUAACCUGCCCUUGACUUUGGGAUAACUUCAGGAAACUGGGGCUAAUACCGGAUAGGAGCUCCUGCUGCAUGGUGGGGGUUGGAAAGUUUCGGCGGUGGUGGAUGGACUCGCGGCUUAUCAGCUUGUUGGUGGGGUAGUGGCUUACCAAGGCUUUGACGGGUAGCCGGCCUGAGAGGGUGACCGGCCACAUUGGGACUGAGAGACGGCCCAGACUGCUACGGGAGGCAGCAGUGGGGAAUAUUGCACAAUGGGCGGAAGCCUGAUGCAGCAACGUCGCGUGCGGGAUGACGGCCUUCGGGUUGUAAACCGCUUUCGCCUGUGACGAAGCGUGAGUGACGGUAAUGGGUAAAGAAGCACCGGCUAACUACGUG
rnacentral:rRNA from 1 species